CCCGGCCGCUCCCCUCCUCGGGCGCCCAGCCGUUUUGCCUGGCAUUCUGCAGAAGCAUUGCUGUAUCUUACCAGACAGGAAUACAGGCCGUCUCCAAACUAUAGUCCUAUUGGACUGGUGCACCAAAUAUGGAUUUGGGGUGUGCGUAAUUCAGUCCAUAGCACCCACCAAACCACAGAAGCUGCCCCGAGCUGAUGUCCCGCUAUCGGUGCGGCUGCAGGACACUGUCCCAUUGCUGCAUGGAGCCUCUCGCUGUCUGAGCCUCACCUGAAGCCGGCCCACACCAUUUUCUUACUCUAUGCAUUGGAGCGAAAAUGUUUAAUUGACUACGAUGGGUGAUUCCUAAAGUUAUAUUUGACUCAGAAAAAAAUGCAUUAGUAAAACUCCCUGUUUGAAUGUUUCUAGUAUUCACAGCCCGGGUCACUGUCUUUCUAUAACGAUUGGUAUCUGAAAUAAGAACAUGGGCUGCAACUUACAGCCUUGCUCUUUCUACUAUAUAAACUUCCCUAAUCAAAUAUUUUUCAUUAAAAAAAUGUGUUUUUGGAAAUAAACAGUUACAACCUGG